rnacentral:lncRNA from 1 species
UCAUUAGUAGCUCUGAAUACAAUGUCAUCAAUAUAUUGUUGCACAAUUAAUAAAUCAUUUGAUUUCUUCUUAAUAAACAAUAUUUUAUCUACAUUGCCUCUUUUAAAAUUAUUGUUUAAUAAAAAUUUGCUUAACCUGUCAUACCAAGUCCUAAGGGCUUGUUUUAAUCAAUAUAAUACUUUUUUAAGUUUAUAAACAUGAUUAGGCAAUUCUUGAUUUUCAAACCC